AUCAUAUUUGAAACGACUCUCGGCAACGGAUAUCUCGGCUCUCGCAUCGAUGAAGAACGUAGCGAAAUGCGAUACUUGGUGUGAAUUGCAGAAUCCCGUGAACCAUCGAGUUUUUGAACGCAAGUUGCGCCCGAAGUCGUCAGGCCGAGGGCACGCCUGCCU
rnacentral:rRNA from 1 species